CUUUGGGUACGGAACCCGAAAAAUGUUAAAAUAUGAGUCUAUGAAACAGUCAAAAGUUUCAUAGACUCAUACAUACAUACUGAGCAUAACCCGACACGCACUUGUGUCUUUCCAGGGAAACCACUAGUCCCAGGCAGAAACUGUCCAGGUCGUGUUUUGAAAGAGCGAUAACACGAUUUUUUAGUGUUAUGUAAAAUAUGAUACAUCAUGAUAAUAUGAUAUAUGAUACAGUUGUACACAAUAUCUACGAGCCACAAACAUGUUGAAAAUAUAGACAUGUGUAUUCAAAGCUACUAUUUGUAUUUUUAAAGAAAAUUAUAAAAAUGCAAAUGAGAAUUUCCGACUUACAUAUUGUUGAUAACAUUUUGUUGACUGACACUUUUGCAGGAAUGUAAAAAAAUUAUCUUGUUACACGAAUGCUUUUAAAUAAAUGCAACUUGUAUAUUUCUU